AACGAACGCUGGCGGCAUGCCUAACACAUGCAAGUCGAACGAGACCUUCGGGUCUAGUGGCGCACGGGUGCGUAACGCGUGGGGACCUGCCCUUAGGUUCGGAAUAACUCCCCGAAAGGGGUGCUAAUACCGGAUAAUGUCUUCGGACCAAAGAUUUAUCGCCUUUGGAUGGGCCCGCGUUGGAUUAGCUAGUUGGUAGGGUAAAAGCCUACCAAGGCGACGAUCCAUAGCUGGUCUGAGAGGAUGAUCAGCCACACUGGGACUGAGACACGGCCCAGACUCCUACGCGAGGCAGCAGUGGGGAAUAUUGGACAAUGGGCGAAAGCCUGAUCCAGCAAUGCCGCGUGAGUGAUGAAGGCCUUAGGGUUGUAAAGCUCUUUUACCCGGGAUGAUAAUGACAGUACCGGGAGAAUAAGCUCCGGCUAACUCCGUG
rnacentral:rRNA from 1 species